rnacentral:misc_RNA from 1 species
AAGUCGUAACAAGGUUUCCGUAGGUGAACCUGCGGAAGGAUCAUUAAAGAGAUAGGGUUCUCUCGAGCCCGACCUCCAACCCUUUGUUUACAUACCACUGUUGCCUCGGCGGGUCGCCGGCGCCCUUAACUAGGCGCCGCCGUCGGCCUCGUGCUCUCGAGUGCCCGCCGCAGGACCAUCAAAAACUCUUUUAUUAACAAGCAUGUCUGAGUGGAUAUUUAAUGCUUCAAAAAAAA